GAUGAACGCUGGCGGCGUGCCUAACACAUGCAAGUCGAACGGAGUCCAGCCUUAGAGACCUUCGGGUCAAAGAGGGGAAGACUGAGUGGCGGACGGGUGAGUAACACGUGGGCAACCUGGCUCAUAGAGGGGGAUAACAGAGAGAAAUUUCUGCUAAUACCGCAUAAGCACACACUGCCGCAUGGCAGAGUGUGAAAAGAGAAUCGCUAUGAGAUGGACCCGCGUCUGAUUAGCCAGUUGGCAGGGUAAGAGCCUACCAAAGCGACGAUCAGUAGCCGAUUUGAGAGGAUGAACGGCCACAUUGGGACUGAGACACGGCCCAAACUCCUACGGGAGGCAGCAGUGGGGGAUAUUGCACAAUGGGGGGAACCCUGAUGCAGCGACGCCGCGUGAGUGAAGAAGUAUUUCGGUAUGUAAAGCUCUAUCAGCAGGGAAGAUAAUGACAGUACCUGAAUAAGAAGCCCCGGUUAACUACGUG
rnacentral:rRNA from 1 species